AUUGAACGCUGGCGGCAGGCCUAACACAUGCAAGUCGAACGAGUGGCGGACGGGUGAGUAAUGUCUGGGAAACUGCCCGAUGGCGGGGGAUAACUACUGGAAAAGGUAGCUAAUACCGCAUACCAUCAGAUGAACCCAUAUGGGAUUAGCUUGUAGGUGAGGUAACGGCUCACCUAGGCGACGAUCCCUAGCUGGUCUGAGAGGAUGAUCAUCAACACUGGGAUUGAGACACGGCCCAGACUCCUACGGGAUGCAGCAGUGGGGAAUAUUGCAAAAUGGGGGCAAGCCUGAUGCAGCCAUGCCGCGUGUAUGAAGAAGGCCUUCGGGUUGUAAAGUACUUUCAGUCGGGAGGCGUUACCGACAGAAGAAGCACCGGCUAACUCCGUGCCAGCAGCCGCGGUAAUAC
rnacentral:rRNA from 1 species